rnacentral:rRNA from 1 species
GAUGAACGCUGGCGGCGUGCCUAAUACAUGCAAGUCGAGCGAACAGACGAGGAGCUUGCUCCUCUGACGUUAGCGGCGGACGGGUGAGUAACACGUGGAUAACCUACCUAUAAGACUGGGAUAACUUCGGGAAACCGGAGCUAAUACCGGAUAAUAUAUUGAACCGCAUGGUUCAAUAGUGAAAGACGGUUUUGCUGUCACUUAUAGAUGGAUCCGCGCCGCAUUAGCUAGUUGGUAAGGUAACGGCUUACCAAGGCGACGAUGCGUAGCCGACCUGAGAGGGGGAUCGGCCACACUGGAACUGAGACACGGUCCAGACUUCUACGGGAGGCCGCAGUAGGGAAUCUUCCGCAAUGGGCGAAAGCCUGACGGAGCCACGCCGCGUGAGUGAUGAAGGUCUUCGGAUCGUAAAACUCUGUUAUUAGGGAAGAACAAAUGUGUAAGUAACUAUGCACGUCUUGACGGUACCUAAUCAGAAAGCCACGGCUAACUACGUG